CUUUCUUUCAAUCCGUGUUUCAAUCUAGAGACGAUGUAUUGAAAGGGAAAAUAUUCAUUAAGUAAUUAUCUAUGUUUACAGUAAUAUAUGUAUAAAAAUCAUCGUCUAAAUUUUAUAUUUCAUACCUCUUCAAGCGCUUGUUGAACUUCAAUCUGAACUUCAUCCACGUCCAUCUCGAGAAGCGCAGUUGUUUACUCUAAAUCGUCCUCAAAGGUGAACAAGAGCUUUCUAAACGCUCAGUAUCAAUUUCUUCAUCUAUUUCCAUGAUUCCAAACCUUAAACGUGCGUUUUCAACGACCAUUUCGAACGGCUUUAGCAGUAUGACUUCGCUUCACUUGAAAUUGAUACUAUACACAGCGUCAGCAAUUUGGGUUAUCACACAUAAAGACGUCUCAAAAGUUGCCACUUACGAUGUAGAUUUGCGAUAAAACCUCGUAUUCCACCCAAACCUCGUAUAACGAGCGAAAAUUAAAGAUUUCUAAGUUGUCAAUAGGGAAUUGUAUUAUAGAAUCACGCCAUGAUGCACUAUAACUGUCACGUGAUGCCCUCUAUCAAGUUCAGCUCACGAAAGGGGGCGUUAUCCUUUGAAGUUUGCCGGCCUUCCAAACCCUCUCAUUAUAUUAACUAUGACUAAACUGAUUUAAUUAAUAAACAUAUCAUUAUAUAACAUGCUAACACUUAAACUGAUAUACAGUAAUUGGGUAAAGCAUAUAAGAAAGACAAUUUCGUUUAGUCUGUGACUCUGUGAGAGCUUUCUUUGUCAAUUCUGUCUUCAGCCUUGCAGAUUUUUGUAAUUUCCGUGUGCAAUUUGAUACAGUAUUAUACAGUGAUAUAAUUCUCCAUCUAUGUCUCUUGCUAUGUCUAUGUUUUAGUGAAGUCAAUAUGCCCACUGACUAUGACCCAUAGGUGUGUAUUUUAAGGAUGUCUGAGGAGCAGGGGCGUAGGAAACACCUGGAGUUUGGGGGGGCACCGGCUUGUAGGGGCACAUUACUAUCGGAAAGGGCACCUAAAAAAUUUUUCCCGGAAAUGUUGUCGACGGGGGGGGGGCAGAAAAUUUUCCGUCGUAUCAUACCGAAAUUCAUGUUUGUGACCUAAUUUUUAAAAAAAAUUUGUAAAUUUCCACACAAAAACGGCACCUAUUGUUUUAAUUUAGUAUUUACAGCGACAUUAGCUUCUACAAAAGGGGCACUUUUCCUCACAAAAAAAGGGCACUUUUCAACACAAAAAGGGCACUUUUUAUCACAAAAAAGGGCACUUUUAGUCCUUUAAAAAAAUUUGGGGGGGCACGUGCCCCCCGUGCCCCCCCGCUUCCUACGCCCCUGCUGAGGAGGGUAUCAUAUUUGACUGUCAAAAUAAUUAUAGUGGAAUAUUGAUCAAUGCAUACCAUGUACCCAUGUAUAUAUAUAUAUCCAUGUUUGAUUUGUACAGAUGAUGUCGAAGAAAUAUUUCAAACUUUUCUCAAUGUUACCAAAGAUGAUCUUAAAAAGGCAGCCAAGCAACUCAAAGAGUACGGUGUCUUUGCAAAGUGUUGCCCACUGCCUAUGGCCCAUAGAUAAGUUACCCAGUAUGCUUGCUGUUAAUAUAAAUUUCUUUGUUACUGUAGUUUCACUACUACGUUGUUGAACAGAGCCAAAAGAAGUCUAAAGCAGCACCAAAAUGCAGGGCAUGUGAACAACCCAUGAAAGGACACAAGUUUGUUACAGACUGUCCAAGGAAUGAAAGGAGCACAUCAUAGUGUAUUAUAUGGAUAAGGCAUUUGAGGAGGGAGGGCAUAUUGGGAGGUGGUUUUUUUUUCAGAAGGGCAUAUUAGGAUUAUUCAGGAUGUUGGGGAUUUAUAACAGAGAUUGGGGCUUAUAUUACAGCAGGAAGGGUCUUAACAGAGGGGAAAUAUAUGGAAGGGUGGUGCUUAUUAGGGAUGGAGCUUACUAGGGAGGGUGGUGCUUAUUAGGAGAGGACUCAAUAGAGUGGGUACUUUAUAAGGAGGGUAGUGCUUAUUAGGGGGGGAGGCUAAUAGAGAGGGUGUUUAUUGGGAGGGUGGUGAUUAUUGUGGAAGGGGAUUAAUAGGGAGGGGGCUUAAUAGGGAGGGUGCUUUAUAGGCAGGGUGGUGAUAUUUGUUAAAUAAAUUAUAUUAUGCACUACAUGUAUCAAGUUUGCUCUACUUUACUUGUUUUCUAUCCCUGAUGAGCACUAGUCAAAACUGAUUUAUGUUGAUA
rnacentral:lncRNA from 1 species